CGUAGCGAAAGCGAGUCCGAAUAGGGCGGUUUUAGUCGCAUGUUCUAGACCCGAAGCGAAGUGAUCUACCCAUGGCCAGGUUGAAGCGACGGUAAGACGUCGUGGAGGACCGAACCCACCAGGGUUGAAAACCUGGGGGAUGAGCUGUGGGUAGGGGUGAAAGGCCAAUCAAACUUCGUGAUAGCUGGUUCUCUCCGAAAUGCAUUUAGGUGCAGCGUUGCGUGUUUCUUGCCGGAGGUAGAGCUACUGGAUAGCCGAUGGGCCCCAAAAGGUUACUGACGUUAGCCAAACUCCGAAUGCCGGUAAGUGAGAGCGCAGCAGUGAGACGGUGGGGGAUAAGCUUCAUCGUCGAGAGGGAAACAACCCAGACCACCGACUAAGGUCCCUAAGCGCGUGCUAAGUGGGAAAGGAUGUGGAGUUGCACAGACAACCAGGAGGUUGGCUUAGAAGCAGCCACCCUUGAAAGAGUGCGUAAUAGCUCACUGGUCAAGUGAUUCCGCGCCGACAAUGUAACGGGGCUCAAGCACGCCACCGAAGUCGUGGCAUUGCCGCAUGUGACAGGCCUUCGUGGUCCAGUCGUGGUGAUGGGUAGGAGAGCGUCGUGUGCCGGGUGAAGCGGCGGGGUGACCCAGCCGUGGACGGCACACGAGUGAGAAUGCAGGCAUGAGUAGCGAAAGACGGGUGAGAAACCCGUCCUCCGAAAGACCAAGGGUUCCAGGGCCAGGUUAAUCCGCCCUGGGUAAGUCGGGACCUAAGGCGAGGCCGACAGGCGUAGUCGAUGGACAACGGGUUGAUAUUCCCGUACCGGCGAAGAACCGCCCACGCUAAUCCAGUAGUGCUAAGCAUCCGAGCCGGCCCACCGCUCCUUCGGGAGCAUCGGGCCGGGGAGCGUGCGACCCCGUGCUGGUGCGGCGAGCGUAGUAACAGGUGUGACGCAGGAAGGUAGCCGUACCGGGCGAUGGUUGUCCCGGGGCAAGGAUGUAGGGCGAACGGUAGGCAAAUCCGCCGUUCACGUGCCUGAGAUCUGACGCAUACCCGUCAAGGGGAAUUCGGUGAUCCUAUGCUGCCAAGAAAAGCAUCGACGCGAGGUUCUAGCCGCCCGUACCCCAAACCGACUCAGGUGGUCAGGUAGAGAAUACCGAGGAGAUCGAGAGAAUCGUGGUUAAGGAACUCGGCAAAAUGCCCCCGUAACUUCGGGAGAAGGGGGGCCGGAACCGUGACAGGCCUUGCGCCUGAAAGCGGGGAAGGCCGCAGAGACCAGUGGGAAGCGACUGUUUACUAAAAACACAGGUCCGUGCCAAGUCGCAAGACGAUGUAUACGGACUGACGCCUGCCCGGUGCUGGAAGGUUAAGAGGAACGGUUAGCACUUCGGUGCGAAGCUGAGAAUUUAAGCCCCAGUAAACGGCGGUGGUAACUAUAACCAUCCUAAGGUAGCGAAAUUCCUUGUCGGGUAAGUUCCGACCUGCACGAAUGGCGUAACGACUUCCCAGCUGUCUCAACCACGAACUCGGCGAAAUUGCACUACGAGUAAAGAUGCUCGUUACGCGCAGCAGGACGGAAAGACCCCGUGA
rnacentral:rRNA from 1 species